GGGCGUAAAGAGCUUGUAGGCGGCUUGUCGCGUCUGCUGUGAAAGCCCGGGGCUUAACCCCGGGUCUGCAGUGGGUACGGGCAGGCUAGAGUGUGGUAGGGGAGGCUGGAAUUCCUGGUGUAGCGGUGGAAUGCGCAGAUAUCAGGAGGAAAACCGAUGGCGAAGGCAGGUCUCUGGGCCAUUACUGACGCUGAGAAGCGAAAGCGUGGGGAGCGAACAGGAUUAGAUACCCUGGUAGUCCACGCCGUAAACGUUGGGCGCUAGGUGUGGGUCCCAUUCCACGGGGUCCGUGCCGCAGCUAACGCAUUAAGCGCCCCGCCUGGGGAGUACGGCCGCAAGGCUAAAACUCGAAGGAAUUGACGGGGGCCCGCACAAGCGGCGGAGCAUGGGGAUUAAUUCGAUGCAACGCGAAGAACCUUACCAAGGCUUGACAUGUACCGGAAACCCUCGGAGACGGGGGCCCCGCAAGGCUGGUACACAGGUGGUGCAUGGUUGUCGUCAGCUCGUGUCGUGAGAUGUUGGGUUAAGUCCCGCAACGAGCGCAACCCUCGUUCUAUGUUGCCAGCGGUUCGGCCGGGGACUCAUAUGAGACUGCCGAGGUCAACUCGGAGGAAGGU
rnacentral:rRNA from 1 species